GAAACCUGGGCUAAUACCGCAUACAGCACCGGCUUGGAAGCCGGAUGUGAAAGCUGGCCUCUCGAAGAAGCUGGUACCAUCGGAUGAGCUCGCGGCCUAUCAGCUAGUUGGUGGGGUAACGGCCUACCAAGGCGAUGACGGGUAGCUGGCGUGAGAGCGUGGCCAGCCACACUGGGACUGAGACACGGCCCAGACUCCUACGGGAGGCAGCAGUGGGGAAUAUUGCGCAAUGGGCGAAAGCCUGACGCAGCGACGCCGCGUGGGGGAGGAAGGCCUCAGGGUCGUAAACCCCUGUCAGGUGGGACGAACAACGGAUCGGUCAAUACCCGGUCCGCCUGACGGUACCACCAGAGGAAGCUCCGGCUAACUCCGUGCCAGCAGCCGCGGUAAUACGGAGGGAGCUAGCGUUGUUCGGAAUCACUGGGCGUAAAGGGCGCGUAGGCGGUCGGGUAAGUCGAGUGUGAAAUUCCGGGGCUCAACCCCGUGAACUGCACCCGAUACUGCUCGACUAGAGAAAGGUAGGGGCGAGUGGAAUUCCCGGUGUAGCGGUGGAAUGCGUAGAUAUCGGGAAAGAACACCGGUGGCGAAGGCGGCUCGCUGGGCCUUUUCUGACGCUGAAGCGCGAAAGCG
rnacentral:rRNA from 1 species